rnacentral:snRNA from 9 species
AUACUUAUCUGGCGUAGGGAUACCGUGAUCAUGCAGACGGUUCACCCAGGGUGAGGCUGCUCCAUUGCACUGCGGAGUGAAGUUUCUUCACUUCUACCGUGUGUGACCUACACAUACACACUUUUUAAUUUAUUUAUUUGGGAAACC